ACUCUCGAGCCGGAUUUGAACCAGCGACCUAAGGAUUACCGUUGUAACAUCUACAGUCCUCCGCGCCGCCAACUGUGGGUUGUCGAGGG